rnacentral:lncRNA from 1 species
AUGAUCAUGCUUGUAAUUUUGAAAAUGAUAAUGAAAAUUGCAUGUCUUAUGUUAAUGCAAGAUAGAAAUCUAAUGAUUGUACACCUAGUGAGAUUAAUCUUAUUUAUGUGCUUGAGAAGCAAGAAUGUAUAUUUUGAUGAUUUUCAUAUUGCUUUUCAAUGACGAUACAUGGCUUUUGUCUGGAAGGCUUGAUAUUUUUCAUUGUCUUUAUUU